AACGAACGCUGGCGGCGUGCUUAACACAUGCAAGUCGAACGAGAAAGCGGGCUUCGGUCCGCUAGUAAAGUGGCAGACGGGUGAGUAACACGUGGGUAACCUGCCCGGAGGUGGGGGACAACCCUCCGAAAGGAGGGCUAAUACCGCAUGAUAUCCCUGAGGCUUCGGCCUUGAGGAUCAAAGCUAGCCUCUACAUGUAAGCUAGCUCCACCGGAGGGGCCCGCGGCCCAUUAGCUAGUUGGGAGGUAACGGCUCACCAAGGCGACGAUGGGUAGCCGGCCUGAGAGGGUGUUCGGCCACACUGGAACUGAGACACGGUCCAGACUCCUACGGGAGGCAGCAGUGAGGAAUCUUGCGCAAUGGGCGAAAGCCUGACGCAGCGACGCCGCGUGGAGGACGAAGGUCUUCGGAUCGUAAACUCCUGUCAAGUGGGACGAAGGCUGUUGGGAUGAAUAAGCCCAGCAGUUGACGGUACCGCUGAAGGAA
rnacentral:rRNA from 1 species